rnacentral:tRNA from 1 species
GCCGGCCUGGCUGAGUGCGGCCGCCCGCUUCAUCCUGGAGGCGCCGGUCGGCACCGAGGCCGUGGUGGUCCCGGACCGCCGGCCGGCC